rnacentral:snRNA from 1 species
GGAUGUGAGGGCGAUUUGGCUGCGACAUCUGUCACCCCAUUGAUCGCCAGGGUUGAUUCGGCUGAUCUGGCUGGCUAGGCGGGUGUCCCCUUCCUCCCUCACCGCUCCAUGUGCGUCCCUCCCGAAGCUGCGCGCUCGGUCGAAGAGGACGGCCUUCCUCGAAUAGAGACGACCGGUCUUCGGUCGAGGGUAUACGAGUAGCUGCGCUCCCCUGCUAGAACCUCCAAACAAGCUCUCAAGACAGAGAGAAAUGGAGAGAGGCGGGGAAGACAGAGAGGGGGAGAGAAAGACAGACACUUGCAGACCUGCUUCACUGCCUAU